UACGUAGGGUGCGAGCGUUGUCCGGAAUUAUUGGGCGUAAAGAGCUUGUAGGCGGUUUGUCGCGUCUGCCGUGAAAAUCCGGGGCUCAACCCCGGACUUGCGGUGGGUACGGGCAGACUAGAGUGUGGUAGGGGAGACUGGAAUUCCUGGUGUAGCGGUGAAACGCGCAGAUAUCAGGAGGAACACCGAUGGCGAAGGCAGGUCUCUGGGCCACUACUGACGCUGAGAAGCGAAAGCGUGGGGAGCGAACAGG
rnacentral:rRNA from 1 species